AGCAGCCGCCGCGGUAAAACGUAGGUGGCAAGCGUUGUCCGGAAUUAUUGGGCGUAAAGGGCUCGCAGGCGGUUUCUUAAGUCUAAUGUGAAAGCCCCCGGCUCAACCGGGGAGGGUCAUUGGAAACUGGGAAACUUGUGUGCAGAAGAGGAGAGUGGAAUUCCACGUGUAGCGGUGAAAUGCGUAGAGAUGUGGAGGAACACCAGUGGCGAAGGCGACUCUCUGGUCUGUAACUGACGCUGAGGAGCGAAAGCGUGGGGAGCGAACAGGAUUAGAUACCCCUGUAGUCCCUGUCUCUUAUAC
rnacentral:rRNA from 1 species